rnacentral:misc_RNA from 1 species
CUGGGAUCCGAUGAGUCACAGGGGU